AGAGAAGAACCUUACCAGGUCUUGACAUUGGUGGACAGAACAAGAAGAUAGUUCCUCUUCUUCGGAAACCAGAAAACAGGUGGUGCACGGUUGUCGUCAACUCGGGUCGUGAGAUGUUGGGAUAAAAAAACCCAACGAACGCAACCCCUAUCUUAUAUUGCCAGCACGUUGUGGUGGGAACUCAUGAGAGACUACCGCAGACAAUGCGGAGGAAGGCGGGGAUGACGUCAAAUCAUCAUGCCCCUUAUGACCUGGGCUACACACGUACUACAAUGGGAGUUAAUAGACGGAAGCGAAGCCGCGAGGCGGAGCAAACCCGAGAAACACUCUCUCAGUUCGGAUCGUAGGCUGCAACUCGCCUACGUGAAGUCGAAAUCGCUAGUAAUCGCAGGUCAGCAUACUGCGGUGAAUACGUUCCCGGGCCUUGUACACACCGCCCGUCACACCACGAAAGUCGGAAGUGCCCAAAGGAGGUGGGGUAACCUUCGGGAGCCAGCCGUCUAAGGUAAAGUUGUUUUCGGGAAGUCGUAACAAGGUAGCCG
rnacentral:rRNA from 1 species